rnacentral:tRNA from 1 species
GCCGCCUUAGCUCAGUCGGUAGAGCACAUUACUCGUAAUAAUGAGGUCGUCGGUUCGAUUCCGACAGGCGGCUCCA